AACGCACAUUGCGCCCUUUGGCAUUCCGAAGGGCAUGCCCGUUCGAGCGUCAUUAAAUCCACUCAAGCCUGGCUUGGUGUUGGGCGUCGGGGUCCCCCUGCGCCUCAAUUUCACCGGCUGGCCGUAGUCCGUCGUAGCGUUGUGACACACCUCUCGCUGCCGACGGGGCCGGAUCACGCCGUUUAAAACCCCCCGAAUUUCCAGUCGAAAUUCGAUUAGGUUGACCUCGGAUCGGGUAGGAAUACCCGCUGAACUUAA
rnacentral:misc_RNA from 1 species